rnacentral:rRNA from 1 species
CCUACGGGAGGCAGCAGUAAGGAAUAUUGGUCAAUGGAGGCAACUCUGAACCAGCCAUGCCGCGUGCAGGAUGACGGCCCUAUGGGUUGUAAACUGCUUUUGUACCAGAGAAAACCUACUCACGUGUGAGUAGCUGAUAGUAUGGUAAGAAUAAGCAUCGGCUAACUUCGUGCCAGCAGCCGCGGUAAGACGAAGGAUGCAAGCGUUAUCCGGAUUCAUUGGGUUUAAAGGGUGCGUAGGCGGACUUGUAAGUCAGUGGUGAAAUCUCUUCGCUUAACGAAGAAACUGCCAUUGAUACUGCAGGUCUAGAGUAUAGAUGACGUUGGCGGAAUAUGACAUGUAGUGGUGAAAUACUUAGAUAUGUCAUAGAACACCGAUUGCGAAGGCAGCUAACGAAACUAUAACUGACGCUGAGGCACGAAAGUGCGGGGAUCAAACAGGAUUAGAUACCCUGGUAGUCCGCACCGUAAACGAUGAUUACUCGUUGUUGGUCGAUAUGACAGUCAGCGACCAAGCGAAAGCGAUAAGAAUCCACCUGGGGAGUACGCCGGCGAACGUGAAACUCAAAGGAAUUAGACGCGNGAGGAGNGCGACGACGACGACGAGGGAGGAGG